rnacentral:snoRNA from 1 species
AUAAAUGAUGAUACAUGCACUGGGCUCUGAGCAGCUUUUUUGAGAAAAAAAAGCUGUAAUCUUGAUGCACACGCAGCCUAGAAAGCUUGUCUGACUC